AUGGCUCAGGAUGAACGCUGGCGGCGUGCUUAAUACAUGCAAGUCGAACGAAGUUAUCUCGCUGAGGCGAGCUUGCUCAAUCUUGAGAUAACUUAGUGGCGGACGGGUGAGUAACGCGUGGGUAACCUGCCUUACACAGGGGGAUAACAGUUAGAAAUGACUGCUAAUACCGCAUAAGCGCACAGUAUCGCAUGAUACAGUGUGAAAAACUCCGGUGGUGUAAGAUGGACCCGCGUCUGAUUAGCUAGUUGGUGAGGUAACGGCCCACCAAGGCGACGAUCAGUAGCCGGCCUGAGAGGGUGAACGGCCACAUUGGGACUGAGACACGGCCCAAACUCCUACGGGAGGCAGCAGUAGGGAAUAUUGGACAAUGGGGGAAACCCUGAUCCAGCCGACGCCGCGUGAGUGAAGAAGUAUUUCGGUACGUAAAGCUCUAUCAGCAGGGAAGAAAAUGACGGUACCUGACUAAGAAGCACCGGCUAAAUACGUGCCAGCAGCUGC
rnacentral:rRNA from 1 species